AUCUCACACACCUUGUGCACCCAUGACUCUGAGUACCGCUUUGCAUGGGCCCCCUUAAAGGGCCCUGGUACUCGAGUACUUUACAACACACUCUGAAUGUAAUGGAAUGUCUAUUUGUACAAUGUACAACUAAAACAACUUUCAACAACGGAUCUCUUGGCUCUCGCAUCGAUGAAGAACGCAGCGAAAUGCGAUAAGUAAUGUGAAUUGCAGAAUUCAGUGAAUCAUCGAGUCUUUGAACGCACCUUGCACCCCUUGGUAUCCCAAAGGGUACACCCGUUUGAGUGUCAUUGUAAUCUCACCUCUUUGGCUUUUUGUCAAUCAGUGUGGACUUGGAUGCUGUCGUGUAACAAACGGCUCGUCUGAAAUGCCUGAGUGUACCCUGCUUUGCAGCGUAUUCGGUGUGAUAAACAUCUUCACCGGAGUUGACUUUYGGGUCGCGCUUGUACUGAUUGGCUCUAUGCUUCUAACCGUCCUGACAAGGCCAUCUUUGACAAUUUGACCUCAAAUCGGGUGGGACUACCCGCUGAACUUAAGCAUAUCAUUAAGCGGAGGAAAAGAAACUAACAAGGAUUCCCCUAGUAACGGCGAGUGAAGAGGGAAAAGCUCAAAUUUUGAAUCUGGUGUCU
rnacentral:rRNA from 1 species